rnacentral:rRNA from 1 species
UACAGAGGGUGCGAGCGUUGUCCGGAAUCACUGGGCGUAAAGGGCGCGUAGGUGGCGGGAUAAGUGUGUGGUGAAAGCUCGGGGCUCAACCCCGAGUCUGCCAUGCAGACUGUCUUGCUCGAGCAUAGUAGAGGCAGGUGGAAUUCCGGGUGUAGCGGUGGAAUGCGUAGAGAUCCGGAAGAACACCGGUGGCGAAGGCGGCCUGCUGGGCUAUUGCUGACACUGAGGCGCGACAGCGUGGGGAGCAAACAGG